GAUGAACGCUGGCGGCGUGCCUAAUACAUGCAAGUCGAGCGAACAGACGAGGAGCUUGCUCCUCUGACGUUAGCGGCGGACGGGUGAGUAACACGUGGAUAACCUACCUAUAAGACUGGGAUAACUUCGGGAAACCGGAGCUAAUACCGGAUAAUAUAUUGAACCGCAUGGUUCAAUAGUGAAAGACGGUUUUGCUGUCACUUAUAGAUGGAUCCGCGCCGCAUUAGCUAGUUGGUAAGGUAACGGCUUACCAAGGCAACGAUGCGUAACCGACCUGAGAGGGUGAUCAGGCACACUGGGACUGAGACACGGUCCAGACCCCUACGGGAGGCAACAGUGGGGAAAAUUGCACAAUGGGCGGAAGCCUGAUCCGGCCAACCCGGGGGGGUGAAGAAGGGUUUCGGGUUGGAAAGCCCUUGUUUUUGGGAAGAAAAAAAGUAGUAAAAAACCUUGCCGUUCUGACGGGACCCAAAGAAAAAGCCCCGGCUAACUUCGUG
rnacentral:rRNA from 1 species